rnacentral:rRNA from 1 species
GGGGGCUAGCGUUGUUCGGAUUUACUGGGCGUAAAGCGCACGUAGGCGGACUAUUACGUCAGGGGUGAAAUCCCGGGGCUCAACCCCGGAACUGCCUUUGAUACUGGUAGUCUUGAGUUCGAGAGAGGUGAGUGGAAUUCCGAGUGUAGAGGUGAAAUUCGUAGAUAUUGGGAAGAACACCGGUGGCGAAGGCGGCUCUCUGGACCGAUACUGACGCUGAGGCGCGAAAGCGUGGGGAGCAAACAGG